UACGUAGGGUCCGAGCGUUGUCCGGAAUUAUUGGGCGUAAAGGGCUCGUAGGCGGUUUGUUGCGUCGGGAGUGAAAUCCACAGGCUUAACUUGUGGCUUGCUUUCGAUACGGGCAGACUGGAGGCAUGCAGGGGAGAACGGAAUUCCUGGUGUAGCGGUGAAAUGCGCAGAUAUCAGGAGGAACACCGGUGGCGAAGGCGGAUUCUCUGGGCAGUUACCUGACGCUGAGGAGCGAAAGCAUGGGGAGCGAACAGGA
rnacentral:rRNA from 1 species